GAGGGGAUAGCUCAGUGGUAGAGUGUGUGCUUAGCAUGUACUAGGUCCUGGGUUCAAUCCCCACUACCUCCA
rnacentral:tRNA from 1 species